rnacentral:rRNA from 1 species
CCUACGGGUGGCUGCAGUGAGGAAUAUUGGUCAAUGGGCGCGAGCCUGAACCAGUCAAGUAGCGUGAAGGAUGACUGCCCUACGGGUUGUAAACUUCUUUUGCCGGGGAGCAAGGGCCGGGACGCGUCCCGGCCCGGAGAGUACCCGGAGAAAAAGCAUCGGCUAACUCCGUGCCAGCAGCCGCGGUAAUACGGAGGAUGCGAGCGUUAUCCGGAUUUAUUGGGUUUAAAGGGUGCGUAGGCGGGCUUUUAAGUCAGCGGUAAAAAUUCGGGGCUCAACCCCGUCCGGCCGUUGAAACUGGGGGCCUUGAGUGGGCGAGAAGAAGGCGGAAUGCGUGGUGUAGCGGUGAAAUGCAUAGAUAUCACGCAGAACCCCGAUUGCGAAGGCAGCCUUCCGGCGCCCUACUGACGCUGAGGCACGAAAGUGCGGGGAUCGAACAGGAUUAGAUACCCUUGUAGUC